rnacentral:lncRNA from 1 species
GUAUAAGCAUCGUUUGGUCAGGUCCGCUCCCGGAGGAGUUGGACGCCUUAGAGGGGUUUGCAUGAUCUGCGCACUCAACGCCUCUUGCAAUAUCCGGGCCCUCGGAGUGUUGAGCGUGGUAUACUGUUGAAAACGUGGGCCCCUCGGUCCCUCUCUACUCUUUUGCCCGCUCCGACUCCCCUGACCGUCCGUCUUCUUUCCAUCAUUCUUAUCCAUCCUAGCCUCCUGAGCAUCUUUCCGAUAUUGUUGUUUCAUAUUUUCCAC